rnacentral:rRNA from 1 species
CGAGUCCGAGUCUCCACGGAGACGAAGUGGCGGUCAUCCAACUUCCUAGAAAAGCUCUAACCACGUUAAUCUUUAGUUGCCUGUACCCGAAACCGACACAGGUAGGGGGGUAGAGAAUACCAAGGGGCGCGAGAUAACUCUCUCUAAGGAACUCGGCAAAAUGACCCCGUAACUUCGGGAGAAGGGGUACCACUGAGAAGUGGUCGCAGUGAAGAGGCCCAGGCGACUGUUUACCAAAAACACAGGUCUCCGCCAAGUCGCAAGACGAAGUAUGGGGGCUGACGCCUGCCCAGUGCCGGAAGGUUAAGGAAGUGGGUUAGGGAUUCGUCCCGAAGCUGACGACUGAAGCCCCGGUGAACGGCGGCCGUAACUAUAACGGUCCUAAGGUAGCGAAAUUCCUUGUCGGGUAAGUUCCGACCCGCACGAAAGGCGUAACGAUCUGGGCGCUGUCUCGGAGAGAGGCUCGGCGAAAUAGGAAUGUCUGUGAAGAUACGGACUACCUGCACCUGGACAGAAAGACCCUAUGAAGCUUUACUGUAGCUUGGAAUUGGGUUCGGGCUUGGUUUGCGCAGGAUAGGUGGGAGGCGAAAAAGAUUUGCUUGUGGGUGAAUCUGAGCCAACGGUGAGAUACCACUCUAACCAGGCUAGAAUUCUAACUUCAACCCGUCAACCGGGGGAAGGACAGUUUCAGGUGGGCAGUUUGACUGGGGCGGUCGCCUCCUAAAAGAUAACGGAGGCGCACAAAGGUUCCCUCAGGCUGGUUGGAAAUCAGCCAACGAGUGCAAAGGCAGAAGGGAGCUUGACUGCGAGACCUACAAGUCAAGCAGGGUGGAAACACGGUCUUAGUGAUCCGACGGCACCGAGUGGAAGGGCCGUCGCUCAACGGAUAAAAGUUACUCUAGGAUAACAGGCUGAUCUCCCCCAAGAGUUCACAUCGACGGGGAGGUUUGGCACCUCGAUGUCGGCUCAUCGCAACCUGGGGCGGAAGUACGUCCCAAGGGUUGGGCUGUUCGCCCAUUAAAGCGGUACGUGAGCUGGGUUCAGAACGUCGUGAGACAGUUCGGUCCAUAUCCGGUGUAGGCGCAAGAACAUUGAGAGGAGUCUUCCUUAGUACGAGAGGACCGGGAAGAACGCACCGCUGGUGUACCUGUUAUCGUGCCAACGGUAAACGCAGGGUAGCCAAGUGCGGAGUGGAUAACCGCUGAAAGCAUCUAAGUGGGAAGCCCACCUCAAGAUGAGUGUUCUCAUGGAGUAAUCCAGUAAGGUCACGGGAAGACGACCCGUUGAUAGGCGGUAGGUGGAAGUUCAGCAAUGGAUGAAGCCGAGCCGUACUAACAGACCGAGGGCUUGACC